CGGGCCGGGCCGGGCGGCAGCGGCACAUGGUGCGCGGCUGGGGCCCGGCGCUGCGCACCCGCGGGCGGGCCCAGGGGCCACCAUGGACAACUUCUUGGCGGAGGGGUCUCGGGUCUGGCUGCGAGAAAAUAAUCAGCAUUAUCCCAGUACUGUUCAUUCCUGUGCGGAAGGAGUCAUCGUAUUCAGGACAGACUAUGGUCAGGUAUUCACUUAUAAAAAGAGCACGAUCACCCACCAAAAAGUAAC
rnacentral:lncRNA from 1 species